AGAGUUAAAUAGUACGUGAAAUUGUUAAAAGGGAAACGAUUGAAACCAGUAUUUUUAAUUGAAUUCAAUCAAUUUUAAUGGAUCUUUUUUAUUUAAAGAGGGGUAACUCCCCUUUACUUAAUUAGUUGAAGUUAAGAUUGAUGUAUUUUUCAAUUAAAAAGUCAACAUCAGUUUUAUGUGCCAGAUAAAGGAUAAAGGAAGGUGACUUUCUUUUUAGAAAGUUUUAUAGACUUUAUUUUCAAUGGUGUGUGGAGACUGAGGACUGCAGCGUAGCGCAAGCAUUUCUCAAAAUUGACUAUCUUGAAGAAAUUGUUAAUGACAACAAGUUGGCAUUAACAAGUUGUUUUUGAUAAGUCUAUGGAGAGUUACAUACGCUUAGGAUGUUGACGAAAUGGUUUUAAAUGACC
rnacentral:rRNA from 1 species